rnacentral:lncRNA from 10 species
AGGGGAGGGGAGAAGCAGCUGUCCCCGGGCUGCCUGGGAGUCACUGGGGAGUCCUAGCCCGCCCUUGGGCCUAGGGCUCCCUGAUGCGGCCUCCACUCUUCGCAGGGCCAGGGGGCGAGGAAGGAGGAGGGAGGGAAGAGGGAAGCUGGGGAGUGGGAGAGCGUCCUCCACGACCGCUUGGGUCCUCCGCGGGGCAGCCUCGGGGAGGGUGGCUGCAGGGCCCGGAGUCGCCUGGAUCGCAGCGCCAUCUCGUGGCUGCUGGCAGGUCUGCCUUGGGCCCUCUUGGCACAAGGCAAGGAAACAGGAGCUCUUCCCAUCAGUGACAGCCCAGGAGAAUGCUCCAGUGUCACCAGUGACUCCUGCUCCCACAUCUGCCUACAGGAAGCCCUCUUGGAACAAAAGCAUCUCACUUCUGGGAGGCAUCAAGUAUGUGCAUCACCAGCAGGACAGACUUGCAGCGCCUAUUCUGAGUGAAAAAGAGAAUCUUUUGGUGCUACCCUCAACCAACCUCAUCCUUUCUCCACUUGGAUUCUUCUCAACAUUGACCCUCUUGAAAAGAUCAUAAAAACUCACUUUAAGGUGUAUAUGAGGAGUUUUGUCUCCCAGGAAGGUUUGCAUUGUAUCUGUAAUGGUGGAGUCUCAGGCAUUGACUUCCCAGGUGAAGGAAGGGUGAUUUUGGGAUGGGGGGGCCUUCCUGAAACCUCUGAAGAAACAGCACACCAGCACCUCUGCCAGCCAGCUGCAUCCAGGAUCAAUGUUCCCCCUAGUUCUGGUUCACUCUUUUGAAGCUUUCCAAGUCCCAGAAGUGAAUUCUUAGCCUUUCUUUGAGCUCUCUUUGGUCCAGGCACAGCUGUAGGAAAAAUUGUACAGUGGCAUGAAAAAAGUGAAGGGUUUAGUGUAGUAAAUUCUGCAAAUUUUCUUUUAAAAAAAACUGCAUUUUAA